rnacentral:rRNA from 1 species
GAUGAACGCUGGCGGCGUGCCUAUUACAUGCAAGUCGAGCGAACAGAUGAGGAGCUUGCUCCUCUGACGUUAGCGGCGGACGGGUGAGUAACACGUGGAUAACCUACCUAUAAGACUGGGAUAACUUCGGGAAACCGGAGCUAAUACCGGAUAAUAUAUUGAACCGCAUGGUUCAAUAGUGAAAGACGGUUUUGCUGUCACUUAUAGAUGGAUCCGCGCCGCAUUAGCUAGUUGGUAAGGUAACGGCUUACCAAGGCAACGAUGCGUAGCCGACCUGAGAGGGGGAUCGGCCACACUGGACAUGAGACACGGUCCAGACGCCUACGGGAGGCAGCAGGAGGGAAUCUUGCGCAAUGGGCGAAAGCCUGACGGAGCAACGCCGCGUGAGUGAUGAAGGUCUUCGGAUCGUAAAACUCUGUUAUUAGGGAAGAACAAAUGUGUAAGUAACUAUGCACGUCUUGACGGUACCUAAUCAGAAAGCCACGGCUAACUACGU